rnacentral:rRNA from 1 species
GGCAGCACGAUGUAGCAAUACAUUGGUGGCGACCGGCGCACGGGUGAGUAACGCGUAUGCAACCUACCUAUCAGAGGGGAAUAACCCGGCGAAAGUCGGACUAAUACCGCAUAAAACAGGGGUUCCACAUGGAAAUAUUUGUUAAAGAAUUAUCGCUGAUAGAUGGGCAUGCGUUCCAUUAGAUAGUUGGUGAGGUAACGGCUCACCAAGUCCACGAUGGAUAGGGGUUCUGAGAGGAAGGUCCCCCACACUGGUACUGAGACACGGACCAGACUCCUACGGGAGGCAGCAGUGAGGAAUAUUGGUCAAUGGGCGAGAGCCUGAACCAGCCAAGUCGCGUGAAGGAUGAAGGAUCUAUGGUUUGUAAACUUCUUUUAUAUGGGAAUAAAGUGAGGAACGUGUUCCUUUUUGUAUGUACCAUAUGAAUAAGCAUCGGCUAACUCCGUGCCAGCAGCCGCGGUAAUACGGAGGAUGCGAGCGUUAUCCGGAUUUAUUGGGUUUAAAGGGUGCGUAGGUGGUUAAUUAAGUCAGCGGUGAAAGUUUGUGGCUCAACCAUAAAAUUGCCGUUGAAACUGGUUGACUUGAGUAUAUUUGAGGUAGGCGGAAUGCGUGGUGUAGCGGUGAAAUGCAUAGAUAUCACGCAGAACUCCGAUUGCGAAGGCAGCUUACUAAACUAUAACUGACACUGAAGCACGAAAGCGUGGGGAUCAAACAGGAUUAGAUACCCUGGUAGUCCACGCAGUAAACGAUGAUUACUUGCUGUUUGCGAUACACAGUAAGCGGCACAGCGA